UACGUAGGGUGCGAGCGUUGUCCGGAAUUAUUGGGCGUAAGAGCUUGUAGGCGGUUUGUCGCGUCUGCUGUGAAAAUCCGGGGCUCAACCCCGGACUUGCAGUGGGUACGGGCAGACUAGAGUGUGGUAGGGGAGACUGGAAUUCCUGGUGUAGCGGUGAAAUGCGCAGAUAUCAGGAGGAACACCGAUGGCGAAGGCAGGUCUCUGGGCCACUACUGACGCUGAGAAGCGAAAGCAUGGGGGAGCGAACAGG
rnacentral:rRNA from 1 species